CGGCCAAGUCCCUUGGAACAGGGCGUCCGAGAGGGUGAGAGCCCCGUACGUGCCGGGGUGGCCACCGCCGUGCAAAGCGCCUUCGACGAGUCGAGUUGUUUGGGAAUGCAGCUCUAAGCGGGAGGUAAAUUCCUUCUAAGGCUAAACAUCGGCCGGAGACCGAUAGCGCACAAGUAGAGUGAUCGAAAGAUGAAAAGCACUUUGGAAAGAGAGUCAAACAGCACGUGAAAUUGUUGAAAGGGAAGCUCUUGCCGUCAGACGUGUCGCGCGUACUCACCCGGUUCGCUGGGGUAUUUAUGCGCGACGGGCCAGCGUCGGUCGCUGCGGCGGGACAAAGGCCCCUAGAAUGUAGCUCCUCUCGGGGAGUGUUAUAGCUAGGGGUGUCAUGCCGCCCGCGGCGAUCGAGGCCUGCGUUCGCUAGGACGCUGGCGUAAUGGCGUCAAGCGACCCGUCUUGAAACACGGACCAAGGAGUCGAACAUGUACGCGAGUGUUCGGGUGUCAAACCCCUACGCGGAAUGAAAGUGAACGGAGGUGGGAACCCUGUUAUAGGGGUGCACCAUCGACCGAUCCUGAAGUUUACGGAUGGAUUUGAGUAAGAGCGUACCUGUCCGGACCCGAAAGAUGGUGAACUAUGCGUGGAUAGGGUGAAGCCAGAGGAAACUCUGGUGGAGGCUCGCAGCGGUUCUGACGUGCAAAUCGAUCGUCAAAUCAGCGCAUAGGGGCGAAAGACUAAUCGAACCAUCUAGUAGCUGGUUC
rnacentral:rRNA from 1 species